UCACGCUGUAAACGAUGUCGAUUUGGAGGUUGUUCCCUUGAGGAGUGGCUUCCGGAGCUAACGCGUUAAAUCGACCGCUGGGGAGUACGGCCGCAAGGUUAAAACUCAAAUGAAUUGACGGGGGCCCGCACAGCGGUGGAGCAUGUGGUUUAUUCGAUGCAACGCGAAGAACCUUACCUACUCUUGACAUCCAGAGAAUUUAGCAGAGAUGCUUUAGUGCCUUCGGGAACUCUGAGACAGGUGCUGCAUGGCUGUCGUCAGCUCGUGUUGUGAAAUGUUGGGUUAAGUCCCGCAACGAGCGCAACCCUUAUCCUUUGUUGCCAGCACAUUAUGGUGGGAACUCAAAGGAGACUGCCGGUGAUAAACCGGAGGAAGGUGGGGAUGACGUCAAGUCAUCAUGGCCCUUACGAGUAGGGCUACACACGUGCUACAAUGGCGUAUACAAAGAGAAGCGACCUCGCGAGAGCAAGCGGAACUCAUAAAGUACGUCGUAGUCCGGAUUGGAGUCUGCAACUCGACUCCAUGAAGUCGGAAUCGCUAGUAAUCGUAGAUCAGAAUGCUACGGUGAAUACGUUCCCGGGCCUUGUACACACCGCCCGUCACACCAUGGGAGUGGGUUGCAAAAGAAGUAGGUAGCUUAACCUUCGGGAGGGCGCUUACCACUUUGUGAUUCAUGACUGGGGUGAAGUCGUAACAAGGUAACCA
rnacentral:rRNA from 1 species